rnacentral:rRNA from 1 species
UACAGAGGGUGCAAGCGUUAAUCGGAAUUACUGGGCGUAAAGCGUGCGUAGACGGUUAUGUAAGUCAGAUGUGAAAGCCCAGGGCUCAACCUUGGAAUUGCAUUUGAGACUGCAUAGCUAGGGUGCGGAAGAGGGAAGCGGAAUUUCCGGUGUAGCGGUGAAAUGCGUAGAUAUGCGGAGGAACACCGAUGGCGAAGGCAAUCCCCUGGGCCUGCACUGACGCUCAUGCACGAAAGCGUGGGGAGCAAACAGG